GACGAACGCUGGCGGCGUGCUUAACACAUGCAAGUCGAGGGUAGCAAUACACUGGCGCAAGGGUGCGUAACGCGUAGAUUAUCUGCCCCAUACACUAACAUAACGCUUGGAAACGGUGCUAAUAUUAGAUGAGGUGCUUCGGCAUCAAAGUUUCGACGGUAUGGGAUGAGUCUGCGUCUGAUUAGCUAGUUGGUAGUGUAAUGGACUACCAAGGCGACGAUCAGUAGCUGGUCUGAGAGGACGAUCAGCCACAC
rnacentral:rRNA from 1 species